UGCUGAGGGCAGAGGAGACAGCAGGCGCCAUCAGGGGGCAGCGUCGGGCUUCUGAGAAGGACCCGUCCGCUCCCCGGCUACCGGACAGCGGCCUCAUCAGCGGCCACAAGCGUGCCAGGGGGGAGGCCGGGCACAGCCCCUCUUUCUUAAAAGAGCCUCUGGCCCGGAGACUAAUCAACCAAAUGCAGACGUCGCCAUGACCUCCAGCUAAGAGUAAACACAACAAAGUACCAAACAGCUGGUGGAUGGAGCUCACAGCCUCCACAUCAGGUACUUUAGGAGACGUGUCACCCCGAGCGCUGGGGGCUGGGAGCCAGCCCACAAGGCCAAGGAAUCCCCCGCGCAAGAGGAAGGGGAGACAAAUAGAUUUACGCUGUUCUUUCAAAUGUGUAUGCAUAAAGAAAGGCACCAAUUGUGCGAUAAGGAACAGGCUGGAGGUGGAUUUUUGGGGGAAAAACUCCGACAUCUGUGGCCGCCAGGAAUAGACCCCAGAGGUGAGAGGCACCCGGAAGAACAAACGGCCUGGGCACUGCGACCCUAGUGGGGCAGCUCACUGACUCCUCUGGGAUGGGGAAGCCACACACUCGAAACUUCCUGCCAGCAGCAGGGCCUCGGGGGUGCUUUGCAGAGAUGGUGCACACAGGGUGGGGACACCACACAGGAGGUCACCAGGGAGCCCCAUGAACAAAAAGGUAGCAGCCGGAGGCACAGCAAGGACUCGGCUCCAGUGAGGGAAUGGGAACCUGGAUGGCUCCCAGGCUGGGAGCAGCAGCAGAGGCACGCGGCUGGCUCCCAGCCAGGGCGGCGUGUGUGUCGGGGGGCAGAUGGUAAGAUGAGAGGGAGAAGCAGGUGGGGCAGGAAGGAAGGGAAGCUGCCCCGGGGUUGAGGGGGAGAGCAGAGGUGCAGGCGUGGAGGGAGAGGCAGCAGUCUGGAGCGAAAUCCCGGAGACCCUGAAGUAGGAGGCUCUGUGGGACAGGGAGGACGGACCCUGGGUCAUGGGGCUGCUGAGCAACAUGAACCUCAGUGCCCCACACGGUGUCCCCCACACCAAGGUCCCCCAGGAGGUGUCUUGGGGAUUGGUGGUCAGCCUUGCCCCCCAGACAUGUUAGGUCAGGUCUUGGAGGAAGAGAACAGAAAAUGCCCCGGGGCACCUGAUUGGCUCAGUUGGUUGAGCAUGCAACUCUUAACCUUGGGGUCAUGGGUUCAAGCCCCAUGUUGGGUGUAGAGAUUACUUAAAAAUAAAAUCUUAAAAAAAAAAAAAGCCCAAAGCAGCCCCUGUGGGACCUGGCGCCCAUUAUUUCCCUUCUCAGUUUUGUCACUCCUAGAGCAGACUUCGAUCACUGCCUCAUGUGGUGUCAGUAGACCAGAGGGGUUGGGUGGGGGUGUGUUUUCGCGGGCAGGGCGGAAUAAGAGCCCUGUGCUCAGGAAAUGGCAGCUACGAGGGUGACAGCCAGCGUCCGCAGAGAGAAGAGGAGAAACUCCCACAGAUCGGAGGAGCA